AGACUUUGAUUAUGGCUCAGGACGAACGCUGGCGGCGUGCUUAACACAUGCAAGUCGAACGGUCUACCUCGACAGAAACCUUCGGGUUGAAGACGAGAUCUAGAUAGUGGCGGACGGGUGAGUAACACGUGAAUAAUCUAUCCUCAAGUUUGGGAUAACCUGGCGAAAGUCGGGCUAAUCCGAGGUAAGCUGAGAGUGUGGCAUCACACAAUCAGAAAAGGUGGCAUUGCCAUCGUUUGAGGAGGAGUUCGCGGUAGAUUAGCUAGCUGGUGAGGUAACGGCUCACCAGGGCAACAAUCUAUAGCUGGUCUGAGAGGACGAUCAGUCACACUGGAACUGAGACACGGUCCAGACUCCUACGGGAGGCAGCAGUGGGGAAUCUUCCACAAUGGGCGCAAGCCUGAUGGAGCAACGCCGCGUGAAUGAAGAAGGCCUUAGGGUCGUAAAGUUCUGUCCUUAGGGAAGAAACCGUGGGUAUAGCAAAUGAUACCCACCUGACCGUACCUUUGGAGGAAGCACUGGCUAACUACNUUGCCAGCAGCCGCGGUAAUACGUAGAGUGC
rnacentral:rRNA from 1 species